AAGAUGAAAAUAUUUGGAUAGAUAAAUGGUUCUUAGAAAAGCCUUUUGGAGCUUAGUAUGAACAUGACUCAUCAUUUGGCCAAUGGGUUAAUUCUCAUGCUCUAAGGUCUGAUUGCCACCAUUUUUUUUUUUGGCAUUUGACUGAAUGAUUUACCUUAUCUUUCCAUUUGUCCUCUAUGACUGAAGAGAUACUUAAUUAUAGCUUUAAUCUGACUCCGUUUCCCUCACAGUUUUGUGUGACUCCUAUGAUCUGAUCAGCAUGCAUUAUCCUGCUAGUGACUGAAUUUGGCAAUUUAUAGUGCAGUUAAUUAAAAUGAAUAAAAUUAUCACAGCACAUGUCAAGCAAUUUUGUGAACCACUUAUUUAAAAAGUUUAGUUAAAUGUUCCUUUUAAAUAUUGCUCCAGUAUUGACAUUUGAGAAUUCACCAAAUCCUAUAAAAGCUCAUGAAUGAAUAUCUUAUUUGAAGUUAAAACAGAGAAGCAUAUUUCAAAGAUGCUUUUAUAAUGUUGUUUGUAAAUGUGAACUCUAAGAUGAGAAGCUAAUUGUUCCUGGAAAUACUUUUACUGCUGUAAUAAGAAAUGGACUCCAAGCUAUCUGAAAUAACUCCUCUUGUGUUGACAUUCUGGAAGUGAAUUUUUAAAAACUAGCUUUUAUCACUCUGAGCAUUCAUAUAUUCCAAUAGCAAUAUCCCCAUCUAACAAUGGUACCUACCUGUUUUUUUCCUUAAAAAGAAUUUGACUUAGCUAAGUAAAUAAAAAUAAACUAUAUAGUUUUGAGCAUGAUACAGUGUUAUUAAAUAAAAAAUUCAAUAAACACAUUUACAAAUUAUCUAAAAUCAAUUAGGGAAAUCAUUAAAAUAGCAAAUAGAAAAGAUUUACAGGCCGGGCGCGGUGGCUCACGCCUGUAGUCCCAGCACUUUGGGAGGCCGAGGCGGGCGGAUCACGAGGUCAGGAGAUCGAGACCAUUCCAGCUAAAACGGUGAAACCCCGUCUCUACUAAAAAUACAAAAAAUUAGCCGGGCGUGGUGGUGGGCGCCUGUAGUCCCAGCUACUUGGGAGGCUGAGGCAGGAGAAUGGCGUGAACCCGGGAGGCGGAGCUUGCAGUGAGCCGAGAUCCCGCCACUGCACUCCAGCCUGGGCAACAGAGCGAGACUCCGUCUCAAAAAAAAAAAAAAAAAAAAAAAGAAAAGAUUUACAGCAAUGUAUAAAUGAAGGACUUAAAAUCCAAUUGCAGUACACAAGGGAGGGAAUUAUGUACAUAAUCAUUAUUUAAGAAAAUAUUUAUUUUUAAAUCCUAUAUAAUCAGACAUUUUCCAUGGAACAGAAUACCUAGUAGAUAUCUUUAGUUCACUAAUUCUAAUCUACACUUGAUCUUAGCCAGAAGGCCAAUAAGUGUUAGUUCACUAAUUCUAAAAACCCACUGGUUUUAAAGUACCUGAAACAAGUUUGUUUAAAUUAACAUUGUGUUCUCUAUCAUGCUUUAUUUCUUGCAUAUAGUAGGCAUUCAAAAAAUACUGUGACCGGGGGCGGUGGCUCACGGCUGUAAUCCCAGCACUUUGGGAGACUGAGGCGGGCAGAUCACCUGAGGUCAAGUUUUCAAGACCAGCCUGGCCAACAUGGCGAAACCCUGUCUCUACUAAAAAUACAAAAAUUAGCUGGGCAUGGUGGUGCACACCUGUAAUCACUACUUUGGAGGCUGAGGCAGGAGAAGCACUUGAACUUGGGCGGCAGAGGUUGCAGUGAGCCAGGAUCGUGCCAGUGCACUCCAGCCUGGGCAACAAGCAAGACUCUGUCUCAAAAAAAAAAAAAAAUAUGGAUGGAGGAAAAAAAUAAAAUUAUUAUUUAUUUUAAAAAUAUAAAACAGCAACAUAUUAUAUUAAUAUUUAAAAAGACUUCAUUAAGAUAAUAACUUCUAGUGCUGACAUUUAAGCUAAUUAUUCCAAAAUGAAGCUCCAGAGUUAUCACUGAUUAGAAAAUAGCUUUUAGCCAGAGAUGUAAAGAGCUAAAAUGUAUUGUCUUAUUUUAAGUAAGAAAUGGCUUGUCUCUUUGCUAUAGGUCUCACAUUAAUACCUGAUAAAAAUGCUGUAAGUUUUUAGGCUAUUUUUCUUAAAGAGUUCUCUUGACUGUCUGCAUCAGUAUUAUCUGAGUGCUUACUAAAAUGAGAGACAUAAAUCAGGCUCUCUGGACUGGAGGCCUGGGAUCUCUCUGUCUUUUUAGCAAGCACUCAGGAGAUCCUUAAGGAUCCUGAAUCAUGAGAACCACUGCCUUGUGACCUCCAGUAGAAUGAGGCCCCAGUGUUGACUGCACUGGAAGAGUCCAGGAGCUUGUUAAAAGUGCAGAUAGACUGAUUCCACCCCAGAAUGGACACCGAGAAAUCUUGGAUCCCAAGAGUUUGGUUGGCUUUAUCAUGCCCCUUAGUCAUUUCUGAGUGGUUCCUCAUACUCUGCAUCCAUGUGAUGAGAGGCAAAUUUCCUCAUGAUCUGCUUUGCUUCCUCAUCAAGCUACUAUGCCCCACCAUUGCUGGCUCUGCUUAUGGUUGCUGCAAUGUAGGCAGCGCUGUUUCUUGUUCUUACCACUUUUAACUAUCUUAAAAUAGA
rnacentral:lncRNA from 1 species